AACGAACGCUGGCGGCAGGCCUAACACAUGCAAGUCGAGCGAAGCCUUCGGGCUUAGCGGCGGACGGGUGAGUAACGCGUGGGAACGUGCCCUUUGGUACGGAAUAGCCCCGGGAAACUGGGAGUAAUACCGUAUGUGCCCUUCGGGGGAAAGAUCUAUCGCCACAGGAUCGGCCCGCGUUGGAUUAGGUAGUUGGUGGGGUAAUGGCCUACAAAGCCGACGAUCCAUAGCUGGUUUGAGAGGAUGAUCAGCCACAAUGGGACUGAGACACGGCCCAGAAUCCUACGGGAUGCAGCAGUGGGAAUCUUAGACAAUGGGGGAAACCCCGAUCUAGCCAUGCCGCGUGAUCGAUGAAGGCCUUAGGGUUGUAAAGAUCUUUCAGUGGGGAAGAUAAUGACUGUACCCACAGAAGAAGCCCCGGCUAACUCCGUGCCAGCCGCCGCGGUAAAAC
rnacentral:rRNA from 1 species